GCGGAAGUGGUGGAAUAGGUAGACACACCAUCUUGAGGGGGUGGCGGGUAAAACCGUGGGGGUUCAAAUCCCCCCUUCCGCACCA
rnacentral:tRNA from 1 species